rnacentral:rRNA from 1 species
AGGACGAACGCUGGCGGCGUGCUUAACACAUGCAAGUCGAGCGGAAAGGCCCUUCGGGGUACUCGAGCGGCGAACGGGUGAGUAACACGUGAGUAAUCUGCCCCUAGCUCUGGGAUAGCUCCGGGAAACCGGGAUUAAUACCGGAUACGACCACCUUAGACAUCUUUUGUGGUGGAAAGAAUUUCGGCUAGGGAUGAGCUCGCGGCCUAUCAGCUUGUUGGUGGGGUAACGCCUACCAAGGCGACGACGGGUAGCCGGCCUGAGAGGGCGACCGGCCACACUGGGACUGAGACACGGCCCAGACUCCUACGGGGGGCAGCAGUGGGGAAUAUUGCGCAAUGGGCGAAAGCCUGACGCAGCGACGCCGCGUGGGGGAUGAAGGCCUUCGGGUUGUAAACCCCUUUCAGCAGGGACGAAGCGAAAGUGACGGUACCUGCAGAAGAAGCGCCGGCUAACUACGUGCCAGCAGCCGC